GACGGAGGGUGCUAGCGUUGUUCGGAAUGAUUGGGCGUAAAGCGUCCGCAGGUGGCUAUGUAAGUCUGCUGUUAAAGCGUGAGGCUCAACCUCAUAAGAGCAGUGGAAACUACAUGGCUAGAGUGCGUUCGGGGCAGAGGGAAUUCCUGGUGUAGCGGUGAAAUGCGUAGAUAUCAGGAAGAACACCGGUGGCGAAAGCGCUCUGCUAGGCCGCAACUGACACUGAGGGACGAAAGCUAGGGGAGCGAAUGGG
rnacentral:rRNA from 1 species